rnacentral:rRNA from 1 species
ACGCGCGAAACCUUACCUGGGCUUGACAUACACCAGAUCGCUGCAGAGAUGUAGUUUCCCUUGUGGUUGGUGUACAGGUGGUGCAUGGUUGUCGUCAGCUCGUGUCGUGAGAUGUUGGGUUAAGUCCCGCAACGAGCGCAACCCUUGUCUUAUGUUGCCCAGCAUUUGGUUGGGGACUCAUGAGAGACUGCCGGGGUUAACUCGGAGGAAGGUGGGGAUGACGUCAAAUCAUCAUGCCCCUUAUGUCCAG